rnacentral:rRNA from 1 species
UGGCGGACGGGUGAGUAACGUCUGGGAAACUGCCCGAUGGAGGGGGAUAACUACUGGAAACGGUAGCUAAUACCGCAUAACGUCGCAAGACCAAAGAGGGGGACCUUCGGGCCUCUUGCCAUCGGAUGUGCCCAGAUGGGAUUAGCUAGUAGGUGGGGUAAUGGCUCACCUAGGCGACGAUCCCUAGCUGGUCUGAGAGGAUGACCAGCCACACUGGAACUGAGACACGGUCCAG